rnacentral:rRNA from 1 species
GGCGAACGGGUGAGUAACACGUGGGUGAUCUGCCCUGCACUUCGGGAUAAGCCUGGGAAACUGGGGCUAAUACCGGAUAGGAGCCAUUUUUAGUGUGAUGGUUGGAAAGUUUUUCGGUGCAGGAUGAGCUCGCGGCCUAUCAGCUUGUUGGUGGGGUAAUGGCCUACCAAGGCGGCGACGGGUAGCCGGCCUGAGAGGGUGGACGGCCACAUUGGGACUGAGAUACGGCCCAG